rnacentral:rRNA from 1 species
AUGCAUUCAAGUACGGAGAUGGCGAGGUCCUGGUCGCUCCUUCUGCCGCUUGCUCUAGCAUUGGUUGCUUCGGCUGCCCACGCUGCCAUUGUGGAGCACACCUUCAAUGUCGGGAACCUCUCCAUUAGCCAGCUCUGCCAGCCGGACAGGAUCAUCACGGCGGUGAAUGGCCAGCUACCGGGCCCGACGAUUCGGGCCAGCGAGGGUGACACGGUGGUUGUACACCUCGUCAAUGAAUCGCCAUACGGCAUGACCAUCCACUGGCAUGGCAUAUUCCAGCGUGGCAGUCAGUGGGCAGACGGGCCGGCGAUGGUCACGCAGUGCCCCGUCCAGCCAGGCAGCAACUACACCUACCGCUUCAACGUCACCGGGCAGGAGGGCACGCUCUGGUGGCAUGCCCACUUCUCCUUCCUCCGCGCCACCGUCUAUGGUGCCCUCAUCAUCCUGCCCCGCGGCGGCGCCGAGGCCUACCCCUUCACCAAGCCCGACAAGGAGGAGAUCAUCAUGUUCGGGGAGUGGUGGAACGCCAAUGUAUUCGACUUGCAGCAGAUGGCGCUACUCACCGGAAUUCCUGCCGGGCCAGCCGACGCCUACACCAUCAACGGCAAGCCGGGAGACUUCUACAACUGCUCCGCCCCAAAUCAGACGCACAUGUUCGAGGUGAAGAAGAACGAGACGUACCUGCUCCGGAUCAUCAACGCUGCGCUCAACACGCCUCUGUUCUUCAAGGUGGCGAACCACACCUUCACCGUGGUGGCGGCGGACGCGUGCUACACCACACCGUACAAGACGAACGUGGUGGUGGUUGGGCCCGGGCAGACCGUGGACGCGCUCAUGGUCGCGGACGCCGUGGUCGGGCGAUACUACAUGGCGGCGUCUCCCUAUGAUAGUGGGAUACCGUCGGGGCCGCCGUUCAGCAGGACCAACGCGACGGCGGUGCUAGAGUACGCCGGCGGACCGAACACGACCUCGCCGCCUGCGCUUCCACAGUUGCCGGAGUUCAACGACACGAACACCGCCCACAGGUUCCUCUCCAACCUCACCGCGUUGGUGCUCCCCGGCAAGCCGACCGUGCCGCUCGCGGUGGACACCCGCAUGUUUGUCACCGUCGGGAUGGGCGUCGCCGACUGCCAGCCGGAGCAGACGUUGUGCAACCGGAGCCGCACCAUGUUCGCGUCGAGCAUGAACAACGCGUCCUUCGUGCCGCCGAGGAGCACCUCCAUGCUCGAGGCCCACUACAGCAACUUGACGGCGGGCGUCUACACCCGCGACUUCCCCGACCAGCCGCCGGUCCUCUUCGACUACACCGCCGACGCGAGCAACAACGCCACGAUGCAGUACACAACCAAGUCGACCAAGGUGCGGACGCUCCGGUACAACGAGACGGUGGAGAUGGUGCUCCAGAACACGCGGCUCAUCGCCAAGGAGAGCCACCCCAUGCACCUCCACGGCUUCAACUUCUUCGUCCUAGCACAGGGCUUUGGGAACUACAACCAGACAACCGCGGCGCGGCAAUUCAACCUCGUCAACCCCCAAGAGCGCAACACCGUCCUCGUCCCCACCGGUGGCUGGGCUGUCAUCCGCUUCAUCGCCGACAAUCCAGGGAUGUGGUACAUGCACUGUCACUUCGAGGCUCAUCUUGAUCUCGGGUUGGGAAUGGUGUUUGAGGUUCAGGACGGGCCCACACCGGAUACUUCUCUGCCGCCGCCACCUAAAGACCUGCCGCAAUGUUGA